rnacentral:rRNA from 1 species
UGGGGAAUAUUGCACAAUGGACGGAAGUCUGAUGCAGCAACGCCGCGUGCGGGAUGACGGCCUUCGGGUUGUAAACCGCUUUUUCUCAUGACGAAGUUUUUUGACGGUAGUGGGGGAAGAAGCACCGGCUAAAUACGUGCCAGCAGCCGCGGUAAUACGUAUGGAGCGAGCGUUGUCCGGAAUUAUUGGGCGUAAAGGGUGCGCAGGCGGCUUUACAAGUUGGAUGUGAAAUAUUGUGGCUCAACCACAAACGUGCAUCCAAAACUGCAAAGCUUGAGUUAAGGAGAGGUAAGUGGAAUUCCUGGUGUAGCGGUGGAAUGCGUAGAUAUCAGGAGGAAUACCGGUGGCGAAGGCGACUUACUGGACUUAAACUGACGCUCAGGCACGAAAGCGUGGGGAGCAAACAGG